rnacentral:rRNA from 1 species
GUAAAAAAUUUAGCCUACUUAUCCUAAUAAAUAAAUAAUACUUUUAAACCAAUUAAUAAAACAUUUAAACCACUUUAGUAUAGGAGAUAGAAAAAUUUACUAGCGCAAUAAAAAUAGUACUGCAAAGGAAAAAUGAAAUAGAAAUUAAAUAAAUCAUAAAAACAAUAAAAAGCAAAGAUUUAACCUUUUACCUUUUGCAUCAUGGUCUAGUAAGUUUAACCUAACAUAAAGAAUUUAAGUUAGACAUCCCGAAACUAAACGAGCUACUCCGAAGCAGCAAAACGAGCCAACCCCUCUCUGUGGCAAAAGAGUGGGAUGACUUCCUAGUAGUGGUGAUAAACCUAACGAGCUUAG